UUAAUCAUUCCAUUUUUCUUCACAAGUCUACAUACUUAAAUUAGGUGUUAUAAAUUUGAAGUUAAGGUGCAAUGGGUUAUGAGAAGCUUGACGUGAAGAUUGUGGUGGUUGGUCAUGUGGAUUCUGAGAAAUCAACCAACAGUACUGAGGAACCCAACAAGGCUGUUGUUGUGGAGGAGAACCAAGCUGAUGAGAUGAAUUAAUGUUAUAUGAGGUCCUUUAAUGAUCUCAGUGUGCAAAAAAGGGUACUAGAAAAUUAGUAAUGUUGAAAGAAAUAAAUAAUCUGGUACCCCUUAGUCUAUUUCUUUGUUAUGUUAUGUUAUGUUCAUUGAGAUGAGAGUUAUGGUGAAGACUGAAGAGUACUCUUCUGAUCUUGUAUCACUUUCACUCAAAGUUAAUUAAAUGCAUGUCUGUUAAUUUUUCUCUUAUGCUAAUUAAGAAGUGGUUCUCUUUAUUAU